rnacentral:rRNA from 1 species
UACGUAGGGGGCAAGCGUUGUCCGGAUUUAUUGGGCGUAAAGAGCGUGUAGGCGGCUAGAUAGGUCCGUUGUGAAAACUCGAGGCUCAACCUCGAGACGCCGGUGGAAACCAUCUAGCUAGAGUCCGGAAGAGGAGAGUGGAAUUCCUGGUGUAGCGGUGAAAUGCGCAGAUAUCAGGAAGAACACCUAGUGGCGAAGGCAGCUCGCUGGACGGUACUGACGCUGAGACGCGAAAGCGUGGGGAGCAAACAGG